UACGAAGGGGCUAGCGUUGCUCGGAAUCACUGGGCGUAAAGCGCACGUAGGCGGCUUUUAAGUCAGGGUGAAAUCCUGGAGCUCAACUCCAGAACUGCCUUUGAUACUGAGAAGCUUGAGUCCGGGAGAGGUGAGUGGAACUGCGAGUGUAGAGGUGAAAUUCGUAGAUAUUCGCAAGAACACCAGUGGCGAAGGCGGCUCACUGGCCCGGUACUGACGCUGAGGUGCGAAAGCGUGGGAGCAACAGG
rnacentral:rRNA from 1 species